CUCUAUAUUAAGUAAAGUUGCUCUACAUUAGUUAAAGUUGCUCUACAUUAGUUAAAGUUGCUCUAUAUUAGGUAAAGUUGUUCUAUGUUAUUUAAAGUUGCUCUACAAUAGUUAAAGUUGCUCUUUAUUAGUUAAAGUUGCUCUAGAGGAUUUAAAGUUGCUCGAUAUUAGUUAAAGUUGCUCUACAAUAGGUAAAGUUGCUCUAUAUUAAUUAAAGUUGCUCUACAAUAGGUAAAGUUGCUCUAUAUUAAUUAAAGUUGCUCUACAAUAGGUAAAGUUGCUCUAUAUUAAUUAAAGUUGCUCUACAAUAGGUAAAGUUGCUCUAUAUUAAGUAAAGUUGCUCUACAUUAGUUAAAGUUGCUCUAUAUUAGUUAAAGUUGCUCUAGAGGAUUUAAAGUUGCUCUAUAUUAGUUAAAGUUGCUCUACAAUAGGUAAAGUUGCUCUAUGUUAUUUAAAGUUGGUCUAGAGGAUUUAAAGUUGCUCUAUAAUAGUUAAAGUUGACAUAAAACGAAGCAAAAGCUCCAUAAAUAAACUCCAGUUUUCAACCCGC